GACGAACGCUGGCGGCGUGCUUAAUACAUGCAAGUCGAACGGAAAGGCGCUGCUUUUGUGGGGUGCUUGAGUGGCGAACGGGUGAGUAACACGUGAGUAAACUGCCCCUGACUUUGGGAUAACUUCAGGAAACUGGGGAUCAUAUCGGAUAGGAGCUCUUGCUGCAUGGUGGGGGUAGGAAAGUUUCGGUGGUUGGGGAUGGACUCGAGGCUUAUCCGCUUGUUGGUGGGGUAGUGGCGUAGCAAGGUUUUGACGGGUAGCCGGCCUGGGAGGGUGACCCGCCACAGUGUGACUGAGAUACGGCCCAGACUGCUACGUGAGGCAUCAGUGGGGAAUAGUGCACAAUAGGCCGAAGCCUGAUGCAGCAUCGCCGCGUGCGGGAUGACGGCCUUCGGGUUGUAAACCGCUUUCGCCUGUGACGAAGCGUGAGUGACGGUAAUAAGUAGAGAAGCACCGGCUAACUACGU
rnacentral:rRNA from 1 species